UGGGUGGCAUCCUAUGGAGCUAUACCAUAUAACUAACUGCCGGUAGCGUGCUGAAAGUAUUUGUUGAUUUAGAAGAGAACACCGCUUGGAUCCGCGAGGACCGGGACGGAAGG
rfam:Propionispora sp. 2/2-37 isolate 2/2-37 genome assembly, contig: 2/2_contig3